rnacentral:rRNA from 1 species
UACAGAGACUGCAAGCGUUAUUCGGAUUCGCUGGGCGUAAAGGGUGCGCAGGCGGCCAAGUGUGUCAGGUGUGAAAUCCCGGGGCUUAACUCCGGAACUGCGCCUGAAACUACUUGGCUAGAGCAUUGGAGAGGGAAGUGGAAUUCACGGUGUAGCAGUGAAAUGCGUAGAUAUCGUGAGGAACACCUGAGGCGAAGGCGACUUCCUGGACAAUUGCUGACGCUCAGGCACGAAAGCGUGGGGAGCCAAAGGG